UGGUGAGUAACACGUAAGCAACCUGCCUAUCAGAGGGGAACAACAGUUAGAAAUGACUGUUAAUACCGCAUAUGCCUUGAGUAUUGCAUGAUACAAAAGGGAAAGGAGAAAUCCGCUGAUAGAUGGGCUUGCGUCUGAUUAGCUAGUUGGUGGGGUAAAGGCCUACCAAGGCGACGAUCAGUAGCCGGACUGAGAGGUUGAACGGCCACAUUGGGACUGAGAUACGGCCCAGACUCCUACGGGAGGCAGCAGUCGGGAAUAUUGCGCAAUGGAGGGAACUCUGACGCAGUGACGCCGCGUGCAGGAAGAAGGUUUUCGGAUUGUAAACUGCUUUAGACAGGGAAGAUAAUGACAGUACCUGUAGAAUAAGCUCCGGCUAACUACGUGCCAGCAGCCGCGGUAAUACGUAGGGAGCAAGCGUUAUCCGGAUUUAUUGGGUGUAAAGGGUGCGUAGACGGGAAGGCAAGUUAGUUGUGAAAUCCCUCGGCUUAACUGAGGAACUGCAACUAAAACUAUCUUUCUUGAGUGCUGGAGAGGAAAGUGGAAUUCCUAGUGUAGCGGUGAAAUGCGUAGAUAUUAGGAGGAACACCAGUGGCGAAGGCGACUUUCUGGACAGUAACUGACGUUGAGGCACGAAAGUGUGGGGAGCAAACAGGAUUAGAUACCCUGGUAGUCCACACCGUAAACGAU
rnacentral:rRNA from 1 species